UACGUAGGGUGCGAGCGUUAAUCGGAAUUACUGGGCGUAAAGCGUGCGCAGGCGGUUCGUUAAGUCAGAUGUGAAAGCCCCGGGCUCAACCUGGGAACUGCAUUUGAAACUGGCGGGCUUGAGUAUGGCAGAGGGGGGUGGAAUUCCGCGUGUAGCAGUGAAAUGCGUAGAGAUGUGGAGGAACACCGAUGGCGAAGGCAGCCCCCUGGGAUGAGACUGACGCUCAUGUACGAAAGCGUGGGGAGCAAACAGG
rnacentral:rRNA from 1 species